GGCUGUGCUACACGAUAGCCUGGCCGAGCGGUGUAAGGUGCUGGAUUAAGGCGCCAGUCACUUCAAAGGCGUGGGUUCGAAUCCCACCACUGUCA